rnacentral:piRNA from 1 species
UGACAGCCAUCUUAAGUCAUUACACAGUC